CAUUUUAUGGGGUCGUUCUACUGUACCACUUAGGCUUUGGUACCACUGGCAUUCACAACCGUUGGAUUAUUUUCUGAUUAAUUUCCUCUGUUGAUUACAUGACCGGUUAUGUUUUCAGGUGGUGACAUACGCAAAUCACAGUCACAAUUAUGCCUCUGCUCUAAGAAUAAACUUCACCACUAAGAAGAACUAUUUCCAUUCCUCCACAACUUCAACCGUUACCUCCUCCGAUUCAAUGUAUUCAUGGUGAAAAUCAACCUCCAAAAUACGCUCCCGUAUCCUCUCCCUCUCUUCUCUCCUCUCAUGAGAUUCUCACUCUCCCUUCUCCCUUUCUUCACUAGCCGACUCCGAUCGUCCCGCCCAUCUCAUUCCUCCCUUUAGUUCUCUCAAAACUGUACACUGAUAACACUUGGAACAGCAGGAAGGGGAAGGUGCCGCUGCAUCCGAGGAAACUAAGAAGAGCAACCACGUUCUAAGGAAGCUUAAUUUCGAGAUUGUAAGCGUCGAUUUAGGGUCGUUCUACUGUAAGUGAUGAUAAGGAUCAUCAUCCCUCCCAUCUCAUUUCUCUCUUCAAACUCUGUCAAUUUCUUUACGAAACGUUUCUAUUACAGAGAUUAAAUAAGAUGUUAAAAUAAUGCUGCGCUGGUGAUCAAAAGCUAUAGCCAUGAGUUAAUUGUGCACCCUAUUCUAGAAGAGUCUUAUAAAAUUAGGUACUUUCUUUUUUGGUUGUCUUUAAUGUAUGUUCUACAUAAUUAUUUUGAUUACAGAACCUUGUGCCUAGGUAUACCGUUGCACUUUGUUGAAAUAAAAAUUGAUUUAGGGAAGGGAACAAAAAGCACAUAUCAGAAAAGGAUGCGGCCGAGGUUGAUAAACGGUUAGAGAGCUUUGAUUGUCUUGUUGUUGGACCUGGCUCUGGAAGGGACCCGUUUCUUCUGGUUGGUUUUGUAAAACAAAACACAAGUUGCAUCUGAAAUAUCAUGCAUUAGUGAAUGAAGAUGCUACAUGAGCAGCACUGUGAAUAUGGAAAUUGUGCUUUAAGUUAUGAAAGGUCAAGAUGCGUCACCAGAGCAAAAACAAAGCAGUACUCUUUGAUUCAACUGGUUUCCAUGGAAUGAUGUGAUUCACAGUUUGCAUGUGAAAUCAUAUGACAAACUGAUCAGGCACUAACCUUAGUUCUUUAGCUCAAUUUGUCUGUAGCGACAAAAUUAUGUUCUUCAGCGAUAUUUAUUUAUUAUUUAAUUUUUUUAGUAUCAAACAUUCUCAA